rnacentral:lncRNA from 1 species
GACUUGUCAUCUCUAAGUGCACGUAGCUGUGGAUUCCUAGAACUGGGCAGCCCUGCUCUACAGUGCGACAACAUGAAGGCCAGCAGUCAUUGGACAACAGGGAGAAAGGAGUUCAGCACCUGUGAAGCAAAGCCAAGAAGUGGCACCUGCAGGCUGGCAGAGCUAUCGCUGGUCCUGAAGCUGAGAGACAGGGUUCCCAGGAACAUCUUGACCGAGUUCCCCGCUUCCACGACACCACGGUGGCAGGUGCCGAACAUCUCCUGGUCACCUGUGAUGUAUCAAAUCCACAAAUAUCUCUGGAGAAACACCUCUGAAGGGCCAACAGGGAUAGUAGCAAGCAGCGGAAACUGUCCCUGAAGCCAAAUGGAGCCUUCCCUUGGUCACCGUGGCUUUUUGGAUCACCACAUUUUCCUAGUUUUUCUACAAAUCAAUUUUCUUCAAGGAGAAGCGUUUGAAUUUUUAGCUGGUACAAACAAACAAACAAACAAACAAACCAACCAACCAACCACCACCAGCCACUGCAGAGGCUACGGAAGCUCACUCAGUCUAAGGUAGCCAGCUUGUGCCUCCGGCGGCCCGGGAAGGUCACUAUGGGAUAGGAAAAGAGUUCACAAAAGUACCGCCUUGCUGCCCUGAGGUAGUAGGGGAGGGAUGAGGAAGAGAGGUCUUCAUAGAAGAGGAGGCCAGGGGUUGGAGAGAUGGCUCAGUGGUUAAGAGCACUGACUGCUCUUCCAAAGGUCUUGAGUUCAAAUCCCAGCCCAGCAACCACAUCGUGGCUUACAACCAUCUGUAAUGAGAUCUGAUGCCCUCUUCUGGUGUGUCUGAAGACAGCUGCAGUGUACUUACA